rnacentral:rRNA from 1 species
AACGAACGCUGGCGGCAUGCCUAACACAUGCAAGUCGAACGAGACCUUCGGGUCUAGUGGCGCACGGGUGCGUAACGCGUGGGAACCUGCCCUUAGGUUCGGAAUAACUCCCCGAAAGGGGUGCUAAUACCGGAUAAUGUCUUCGGACCAAAGAUUUAUCGCCUUUGGAUGGGCCCGCGUUGGAUUAGCUAGUUGGUAGGGUAAAAGCCUACCAAGGCGACGAUCCAUAGCUGGUCUGAGAGGAUGAUCAGCCACACUGGGACUGAGACACGGCCCAGACUCCGACGGAAGCCGCAAUGGGGGAUUUGUGAAAAAGGGCCAAACCCCUAACCAAGAAAUGCCGGUUGGGUAAUGAAGACUUAGGGUUGAAAACACUUUUUACCCCGGAAUAAUAUAGACAUGCCCGGGAGAAGAAGCACCGCCAAACCCCUC